UCUCUGUCCUUCAGUUUACCUGUCAAUCAACUCUCAGGUCAAGGAUGUUAACAAUCAAGUUCUCAUUCAGAUUCUUAUUCUCAGUGUGGAAGUGAGGAGCUGCAGCUCAGAGCAGCAUGGAGCUGACAGGAUUCAGAUGCCCUCUCCUGCCUGCUGGACCAGUGUAACUUUAGUUUUUUCAAAUCCAAUUUUUAAUGAUGGUUCUUAAACACUCUAACUUUCCUUUUAACUCACCACCAACCAGAGGUAGUGGAAAAUAAAGUAUAUGGUGUUGGUUGAGGAAUGGGGGAGUGGACCUGUUUAGAAAUUGUUUUUUGGAGCAACUCCUGUCUGUAUUGUCUGGAAAUCAGCAGUUCAGUUCACAGGUCAGCAGCAGCAGCUCCAUCCUCAGAUUCUCCGUGUUGCUGUCCAAGGGCAUGAAGUGUGUGUCUUCCAGGUAGCCGACUUCCAUGAACCGGGGCUCCUGGAGGCUGGGCCAGGACACAGUGGUGUGGAAAUUCUGCAUCGAGUGUGAUCCUUGGGACCGCAUCACCCAAUGGGGGUGAGACCUGCCUGGUGGUGCCUGCUGCCUUAGGAAGUCAGAGAGGCCAUAAGAUCCCUAGGAGCUGUACAGGACCAUCUGCAGCUGGGGAAUGCAGAUGCCUCUUUAAGUUGAACCAUCAUUUGGCCUUUGCUUUGAAGCUGUCUGACAUGCACAGUUUGAGGAAACACCUGGAGCUAGCAUUUUACUGAAACACACACACACACACACGGAAAAUAAGGUAAUGUUAAAGAGGUGAGAAGAUUUUUUUUUCCUUAGGUGAACAUUUGAACUUUUAGGCCCAUUAGUUGAGGGUGGGGCACCCAAAGACCACAGAAAGAAGGAGGAGACCCUCACCCUUAGUAAUAAGCUGAAUA